UAUAUUUCUUUUGUAUUGCAAAUGAACGUUUUGUGUACUUUACGCAUAAUUAUUCCUUUUCCGUAAGAAUUACUAAGUAUAUAUCAAAAGAGGACUGCAUUGAAAGAUAAGUUUCUUUUAACAAGUCCAAAGAAGACCUUUGUAAUAUCUGUGAAAAUAUUCUGUUAAUUACAAUAAUAUGUGAACUUUCUUCAAUUCUUAAAGUUAAUUCAUAACUCUGUUAGUGCAUUGUUUUGUGUUUACUUGUUACUGUCUAUAUUACUAAUAAUUCACAUAACAUUCAUUUGAUAUUGUUUAUUUUAGUAAUUUACUGAACCUCAAGUUUCAUCAAAUCGGAUGAUAUUGUAAUUGACAUUUCAAACAUUAUACAAAACAUUACGUGUACAGUUCAAAUAUCAAUGUAUUAACUUAACCUAAUAAAAUUUAAUAUAACAAGAACUUGUGAUGUAAUCUUUUGGUGUCUGCUUUUACUUAUAAAAAUAAUUACAACUGCUUGGGAAAUUUUUUCAAUUAAAUGUAGUCACUAAAAUUAUGCUUUAGAUUUGUUUUCUUUAUUACAAAACAAUUAUUUCAAUUUGAAUUAAUGUAAAUAAUUAAUAAUAUUUAUGGCAUGUUUCAUCACAGUUAACAAUAUCUGAUAUUCUUAUUUUUGUUUCCAUACACUAACUUCAGUUUUUUCUUCUUCAAUUAUUAGCAAUUACAUUAAUUUUUAAAUGAACAUAAUUAUUCUAUUAAUACAGAUAUUGUUCUGUUUCAAAGAAAAAAAAAAGAAAGUUUGUCAUAUCUUUGUGUGUUCAGAAUACCUGUUAAUUAAAAAAAAGACAUACUAACGCUAUAAAUCUACAUUCGUUUUACAUAGUCAGAUGAUGUAAAUGAUAGAAUCAAGAUAAUAUUCAUUUUAAGUGUGCAUGUUUCAACAAUUGCUUUUGGUUUCUGUGUUUUAUUUGUUGUUAAUUUUUUUAUACAGACAAAGUUGUUGCUACAUCUAUUGUCUUGUCGCCUCUGUAGUAACCAUUGCGUGCUUUGCCGUGGUACUCGGUAUCAUACUGAUAUAUAGAAAAUACUUCAGGUCCAUGUGUUGCUGUCGCAUUGACAUAUACCCCAUCCAUCCCUAUAUUGGAAAGCACUAAGGAGUGAACGUAGGAUGUCAAUUAGAAGUAUAGCUAGUCUACAUAAGGUCCGUCCUAGCUUUGAUAAAGCUGAUAAUGCAGAUAACUGUAUGCUAAAUGACUUGCCGGGUGAUAUGAGGUACACAAAUCCGGCUACAAAGUGCGGUUUGUCAGUUAAACAACAUUGAAAGUAUAACAAGAUAAAAGCUAUCAUUGGUUAAUGCAAUGUGAUUUUCUUAUUUUUUUAUAUAUAUUAUAUAUAUCUAUUUAAUUUAACUUAAUGUUUAGCAAGCGUGAAUUUAUGGAUAUUGUUAUAUCUAGAAUUAUUGUAAAUACAUGUAAUAGUACUCUCUUAUUUUAAAUAGUAAUGAGAGAGAGAGAGAUAGAGAGAGAGAGAGAGAGAAUAUGAUAUUAAUGUGAUUUAUUGUAGAUGCAACUGAUAGAAUUAAAAAUGAUUACAGAUAUAAUUUGUAUUCAUUUAUUUUUUUUAAAUGCUUAUACUUGUCACCGGUACCAUUACAAGUUCAAAUUAAAACGUAUUUUCAUA